CGUGCUUAACACAUGCAAGUCGAACGAUGAACUCCGCUUGCGGGGGGAUUAGUGGCGAACGGGUGAGUAACACGUGAGUAACCUGCCCUUAACUCUGGGAUAAGCCUUGGAAACGGGGUCUAAUACUGGAUAUUGACUUUUCACCGCAUGGUGGUUGGUUGAAAGAUUUAUUGGUUUUGGAUGGACUCGCGGCCUAUCAGCUUGUUGGUGAGGUAAUGGCUCACCAAGGCGACGACGGGUAGCCGGCCUGAGAGGGUGACCGGCCACACUGGGACUGAGACACGGCCCAGACUCCUACGGGAGGCAGCAGUGGGGAAUAUUGCACAAUGGGCGCAAGCCUGAUGCAGCGACGCCGCGUGAGGGAUGACGGCCUUCGGGUUGUAAACCUCUUUCAGUAGGGAACAAGGCCAGUGUUUAGCUGGUUGAGGGUACUUGCAGAAGAAGCGCCGGCUAACUACGUGCCAGCAGCCGCGGUAAUACGUAGGGCGCAAGCGUUAUCCGGAAUUAUUGGGCGUAAAGAGCUCGUAGGCGGUUUGUCGCGUCUGCCGUGAAAGUCCGGGGCUCAACUCCGGAUCUGCGGUGGGUACGGGCAGACUAGAGUGAUGUAGGGGAGACUGGAAUUCCUGGUGUAGCGGUGAAAUGCGCAGAUAUCAGGAGGAACACCGAUGGCGAAGGCAGGUCUCUGGGCAUUAACUGACGCUGAGGAGCGAAAGCAUGGGGAGCGAACAGGAUUAGAUACCCUGGUAGUCCAUGCCGUAAACGUUGGGCACUAGGUGUG
rnacentral:rRNA from 1 species